ACCCGGAGCAAUCCGGGAGCCAGUAGAGGUGCUGCAUGGCUGUCGUCAGCUCGUGUCGUGAGAUGUUGGGUUAAGUCCCGCAACGAGCGCAACCCUUACCCUUAGUUGCCAGCGGGUAAUGCCGGGCACUCUAAGGGGACCGCCCCGGAUAACGGGGAGGAAGGCGGGGAUGACGUCAAGUCAGCAUGGCCUUUAUGUCCAGGGCUACACACGUGCUACAAUGGGCGAUACAGAGGGAAGCAAGGCCGCAAGGUAGAGCUAAUCCCUAAAGUCGUCCUCAGUUCGGAUUGCAGGCUGCAACUCGCCUGCAUGAAGUCGGAAUCGCUAGUAAUCGCGGAUCAGCUACGCCGCGGUGAAUUACCGUUCUCGGGCCUU
rnacentral:rRNA from 1 species